rnacentral:rRNA from 1 species
UACGAAGGGGGCUAGCGUUGUUCGGAAUUACUGGGCGUAAAGCGCACGUAGGCGGCCAACUAAGUCGGAUGUGAAAUCCCCAGGCUCAACUUGGGAACUGCAUCCGAUACUGGAUGUCUUGAAUUCGGGAGAGGGAUGCAGAAUUCCAGGUGUAGCGGUGAAAUGCGUAGAUAUCUGGAGGAAUACCGGUGGCGAAGGCGGCAUCCUGGACCGACAUUGACGCUGAGGAGCGAAAGCUAGGGGAGCAAACGGG